rnacentral:misc_RNA from 1 species
GAUGAAGAACGCAGCAAAAUGCGAUAAGUAAUGUGAAUUGCAGAAUUCAGUGAAUCAUCGAAUCUUUGAACGCACAUUGCGCCCGCCAGUAUUCUGGCGGGCAUGCCUGUUCGAGCGUCAUUUCAACCCUCAAGCCCUCGGGUUUGGUGUUGGGGAUCGGCGAGCCUUUCUGGCAAGCCGGCCCCGAAAUCUAGUGGCGGUCUCGCUGCAGCCUCCAUUGCGUAGUAGUAAAACCCUCGCAACUGGAACGCGGCGCGGCCAAGCCGUUAAACCCCCAACUUCUGAAUGUUGACCUCAAAUCAGGUAGGACUACCCGCUGAACUUAAGCAUAUCAAUAAGCGGAGGA